CCUACGGGAGGCUGCAGUGGGGAAUAUUGGACAAUGGGGGCAACCCUGAUCCAGCCAUGCCGCGUGUGUGAAGAAGGCCCUCGGGUUGUAAAGCACUUUCAGUGAGGAAGAACGCCUGGUGGUUAAUACCCAUCAGGAAAGACAUCACUCACAGAAGAAGCACCGGCUAACUCCGUGCCAGCAGCCGCGGUAAUACGGAGGGUGCGAGCGUUAAUCGGAAUUACUGGGCGUAAAGCGCGCGUAGGUGGCUUGAUAAGCCGGUUGUGAAAGCCCCGGGCUCAACCUGGGAACGGCAUCCGGAACUGUCAAGCUAGAGUGCAGGAGAGGAAGGUAGAAUUCCCGUUGUAGCGGUGAAAUGCGUAGAGAUCGGGAGGAAUAACAGUGGCGAAGGCGCCCUUCUGGACUGUCACUGACACUGAGGUGCGAAAGCGUGGGUAGCAAACAGGAUUAGAUACACGGGGAGUA
rnacentral:rRNA from 1 species